CCAAAGGACUUCUUAAAGUCCAUAAAUAUUCCAUUAAAACACCCUU
rfam:Helianthus annuus linkage group 6, whole genome shotgun sequence.